rnacentral:misc_RNA from 1 species
UUCCCUCGACAUAGGUACAAUGUGUGAAGGACAUACUUUCUCUUACUUUCUCUCAGGUAGCUGUUCAUUUUUUCAGCGAAAUCAUCUUGACUUCAUAUUCUGUUGUCAAUGUCGACGCUGGCUACAAUGAAGUGGACAACUCCUGUGUGUUGCUGUUGUCGCGCUUGCACUGUUCAUCAACAAUGGAGUGUGUCAAAGAAUGUCACCAAAGACGACGACAACAACAACAACAACAACAGCAGCAACGACAGUUACUUCCAAGUGUAGGGAGGUCGCCGGAAACAAGGCUCGUUACGACCUGUUCGUGAGUGGUCACGGUUGGGCGAGCAGACGUUGCCCUCGGAACCGAGUUCCGUCUCUUGCCCAGUGUGAUUGUGUAAAGCCCAGAGUCACUGUAUCUCCUGUGCCAGACGAGUCAAUGUAAACAGGGACAAUCUACAGGGAUAGGUCACUCGCUUGUUUUCUACCAUUUGUACUAAUUAGUGUAUGCCUCGUCAUGCACCAACGCACACAGGGACUUGAUUAGUUCCCAGGGGCAACUUCCGGUUGCGUUUAAUAGUACUUCAGCCAGUUUAUUACAUCAAUCGAAAACUAUCGGGAUACUUUUUGCAAAGCAUAAAGCUAUACUGUCAAUAUGAUCAUGCAUGUUUCCUUAAAUAUUUACACAGUUGUGUACAGUGUUAUCAUGAUACAUGUAUGAAUUGAUCUGUUACGUAAUUAAAAUGUCUCACCAUGUUUCAA